UACGAAGGGGGCUAGCGUUGCUCGGAAUCACUGGGCGUAAAGGGUGCGUAGGCGGGUCUUUAAGUCAGGGGUGAAAUCCUGGAGCUCAACUCCAGAACUGCCUUUGAUACUGAAGAUCUUGAGUUCGGGAGAGGUGAGUGGAACUGCGAGUGUAGAGGUGAAAUUCGUAGAUAGUCGCAAGAACACCAGUGGCGAAGGCGGCUCACUGGCCCGAUACUGACGCUGAGGCACGAAAGCGUGGGGAGCAAACAGG
rnacentral:rRNA from 1 species